ACACGAGAAGUGGUCGAAUGCGACUAGCUAAAAGCCAGGGGUCCCUGGUACGAGCUCUGCCAAUGACACAUACUACACGACAGGGCUUUAUCCGGGAGUUCUGGAAUCGAUCGUGGCAGAAGUUUUGGCCAUAGGAUUACACGAUAACACAAUCAAUAGAGCAAUAUCAGUUUCAAUUGGACGAAACACAAGUUCUGCUCUGUUAUAAAAAGCGUUGGAGAUGCUGUUUUAGUACAUCAAAAUUUGAUCAACCAAUACUGACAAGUCCAGAAUUUCAGUUGGUGUGAUGUUAGAAGGAUCGAUAAUCGGUUUGGGCCGCAUCGAUGGAUCAUC